ACUCUUAAAUUUAAUAGUAAAUUACGUGUUCUUUGAUCCGAAGAAUUGAUGGAAAAAGUUAUAAUUUUUAUAAGUUUUCUAUAAAAAAAAACUGCAUUCACGUUAAGAAUAUACGUGCGCGAAGUCUGAGCCGCCGACUUGCGUUUUGUGAUUGGUUGACAGUCAUCGGAAACCGUCGUUUAUCGAAGAAUCACGAAAACAUCGGGUUUUUGCGCGAUUCUUAAACAGUAAGAAAAUGUACAAACAAAAAAGAUAAUAAUUCGCAAGGGAAUAUAAUUACGUGUAAUUAAAACAUAAUACAAAUAAUAUAUAAAUUAGUAUGUGUGAUAAUCGUUAGAGUAAACGUUUACGCGCGAGUGGAAUCAAACAAUUGAUAGUGUAAUAAUCGAGGUAAUAAUACAACUCACUAGUACACUAUACAGCCGCUGCAGUUCCAUGACGGCGAUGCACGAACAGGAAGGGUUUGGUCGGCCGAGUGGUAUAAUUACCGGGAAAAAAAAAAUUCAGGUUUUACAAUAUUGUUACUAGUUCAUUAAAUGUAAAAACUAACAAAGUUACAUUAAAUCGGGUGAGACAACAACACAUGUUGGAAGACAUAUUCAAACAUCUUAAGCCUUACAAUGAUAGAAGCAUGUGUGAUUAUAUUGAUAUUUUGGAAGAUUUUCCACGUGAUAGCUUGGAUACUAGAUUGAAUGAAGUUAAUAUGUGAGCUGGAAAGGGCUUUAAGAGUGAUAAAUCGCUUUUAAAGAAAGUUGAUAAAGCUGAAGACAAUUUCAUGGUCCAAGUGUUUGUCAUUAAAGAUAUAAUAGAUAUACUUUUAUUUAGGAUGCAAAAUGUGUGUAAAUG